rnacentral:rRNA from 1 species
UCGACGGUAACAGGGAGCUUGCUCCGCUGACGAGUGGCGAACGGGUGAGUAAUGCAUCGGAACGUGCCUAUUUGUGGGGGAUAACGUAGCGAAAGUUACGCUAAUACCGCAUACGCCCUGAGGGGGAAAGCGGGGGAUUCGUAAGAACCUCGCGCAAUUAGAGCGGCCGAUGUCGGAUUAGCUAGUUGGUGGGGUAAAGGCUCACCAAGGCGACGAUCCGUAGCGGGUCUGAGAGGAUGAUCCGCCACACUGGGACUGAGACACGGCCCAGACUCCUACGGGAGGCAGCAGUGGGGAAUUUUGGACAAUGGGCGAAAGCCUGAUCCAGCCAUGCCGCGUGCAGGAUGAAGGCCUUCGGGUUGUAAACUGCUUUUGUACGGAACGAAAAGGUCUUUUCUAAUAAAGAAGGCUCAUGACGGUACCGUAAGAAUAAGCACCGGCUAACUACGUGCCAGCAGCCGCGGUAAUACGUAGGGUGCGAGCGUUAAUCGGAAUUACUGGGCGUAAAGCGUGCGCAGGCGGUGACUCAAGUCAGAUGUGAAAUCCCCGGGCUUAACCUGGGAACUGCAUUUGAAACUAGGUCGCUAGAGUGUAGCAGAGGGGGGUAGAAUUCCACGUGUAGCAGUGAAAUGCGUAGAGAUGUGGAGGAACACCGAUGGCGAAGGCAGCCCCCUGGGCCAAUACUGACGCUCAUGCACGAAAGCGUGGGUAGCAAACAGGAUUAGAUACCCUGGUAGUCCACGCCCUAAACGAUGUCAACUAGGUGUUGGGUGGGUAAAACCAUUUAGUACCGGAGCUAACGCGUGAAGUUGACCGCCU